UAGAAAGGAUACUUACGUGAUCAGAAUAGACUGAUUCUCACGAUCUGAAAAUAUUAAAUUGUUUAAAAAGUUACUUUUAAUUUUAAAAUAAUAUGAAGCAGUGUGUGUGUGUGUGUGUGUGUGUGUGUGUGUGUGUGUGUAGAAGCACCUACAUCUGUCCAA